rnacentral:rRNA from 1 species
AUGAAUCUCCUUGCCUGGAACUGUCGAGGACUAGCGUUGGACUAGACAGUUGACGAACUCAGAGACCUGACACGAUCCCACAACCCAGCGGUGGUGUUCUUGAGUGAGACCAAGAAGAAGGCUAGGGCGAUGGAGAAAUUAAAGUGGAGCCUCGGCUUCAAGGAGGGGGUGGCUGUUGACUGUAAGGGCAAGAGUGGUGGCACGGCGCUAUGGUGGAGAGACAGUGUGCAAGUGAUAGUCCGCCAUGGUGUCAAUACUUUAUUGAUGUCGCGGUUGUAUUUGAAGGAAGGACCUGUAGGAUCACUAGAUUCUACAGCGAACCAAAAACGGAGCUCAGAUCAAAGUCAUGGGAAGCGCUUCGGUACCUUAGAAGGCAAGAUGAUUAGCCAUGGAUUGUUCUAG